rnacentral:rRNA from 1 species
GCGGUAGGCCUAACACAUGCAAGUCGAACGGCAGCACAGUAAGAGCUUGCUCUUAUGGGUGGCGAGUGGCGGACGGGUGAGGAAUACAUCGGAAUCUACCUUUUCGUGGGGGAUAACGUAGGGAAACUUACGCUAAUACCGCAUACGACCUUCGGGUGAAAGCAGGGGACCUUCGGGCCUUGCGCGGAUAGAUGAGCCGAUGUCGGAUUAGCUAGUUGGCGGGGUAAAGGCCCACCAAGGCGACGAUCCGUAGCUGGUCUGAGAGGAUGAUCAGCCACACUGGAACUGAGACACGGUCCAGACUCCUACGGGAGGCAGCAGUGGGGAAUAUUGGACAAUGGGCGCAAGCCUGAUCCAGCCAUACCGCGUGGGUGAAGAAGGCCUUCGGGUUGUAAAGCCCUUUUGUUGGGAAAGAAAAGCAGUCGGCUAAUACCCGGUUGUUCUGACGGUACCCAAAGAAUAAGCACCGGCUAACUUCGUGCCAGCAGCCGCGGUAAUACGAAGGGUGCAAGCGUUACUCGGAAUUACUGGGCGUAAAGCGUGCGUAGGUGGUUGUUUAAGUCUGUUGUGAAAGCCCUGGGCUCAACCUGGGAAUUGCAGUGGAUACUGGGCGACUAGAGUGUGGUAGAGGGUAGUGGAAUUCCCGGUGUAGCAGUGAAAUGCGUAGAGAUCGGGAGGAACAUCCAUGGCGAAGGCAGCUACCUGGACCAAC